UUCCCCUACUCUAGGAGUUUGUUUUAAACAUGUCAUAAAUGUAGAAUCAUGUAAUAUUUGCUAAGGUGAAACUUUGAGCACUUUUGACAUGACUACUUUGAGCAUUGACUUCUCAACUAUUAUGUAGAACUCUAUUCUGUUUGAAACAAACAAUUUAUUAUUUUCCUCCUUGUUCUGAUUGCUAGGAUUGUCGUAUUAGGUGAUCAGUAAGAUGCUGGAACCAGUUCAAUUUUGUGUUGGCACUUUGUCUCUAGUAGUACCAGGGCCAGCUGCACUGAUUUUAGACAUCUCAGUUAGUAGUUGAGCUAAUUUUUGUAUAUGAAGUGUCUAACAUCUUACUUAAAUCAAUGGAAUAUGUUUUUGUUAUAUUUUCUCUAAUGCAGCUGGAUAUAGAAGUUAGGGUGAAGUACGGGUCAAUAUUGCUCGGCCUAACAUACUUCAGAUGCAGCCCUUACCAUAUAACAUUAGAAAAGGAGAACUUAUGUUAUUUGAAAUCAUGAAUUCCUUUUUGUUCUCUGUCUUUUCCUUUAAAGAUGUAUUGUUUCAUCUUUAUUACAUUAUUCUAGCAAGAAAGCACGUUCUUUUUUAUGGGUUGAGUUUUCACAAUGGAGUUUUGAUUCUUUUGUGUUCCUAGUAAAAAAAGAUCUUAAAGUACUUGUUUCUUUCUAACUCCUUUAUUGUUUUGUGGCCAUUGUUAUUGAACAGAUUGCAAUCUGAACUGAUGACUCUAAUGAUGAGCGGAGAUUCAGGUAUAUCUGCAUUUCCUGAGGAGGACAACAUAUUAUGCUGGAAAGGGACAAUAACAGGAAGUAAAGACAUGUGUUUGAAGGAACUGAGUACAAGUUGCCACUUUUGUUUCCCAAUGAUUACCCUUUUAAGGCUCCAAAGGUCAAAUUUGAAAGCACCUACUUCCAUCCAAAUGUAGAUGUUCAUGGUAAUAUAUGCUUGGACAUUCUUCAAGUAGUAAUUAUGUGAAGAUUCCUGUCCUUUCUUAUUUGAUCAACACAAGAUACAAAGCUUGGAUAUGACAGAACAAUUCUGUGUCCUCAGCCAACAUCUGUGUCUUAACUAGUUUAGAUUGUGUGCAGAAGACGAGUGUACAAACACAAUAUUGAAUAUAUUUCUUGUUGGAACAACAUUAACAUUUACUUUCUUGUGAUGGGCAUUUUUUGAAGCGAGAAGAUUGUUCUUAUAUUCUUGACUGGAUAGGGGAGACCCAAAGGUGAAGUAAAUGGAGCUUCUCUUUCGGGAUUCAUCAUCAAUUAGCCACAAAUUGGAUAGUUUUAGUGAUCUCCUAAGUUCUAAUGAUAAAUUUAUUUUGUCCUAAUUCAAUUAUUAGUUGUUAUAGAAUUGUAAUUUUUUAAUUAUAAUUAUAGCAUGUAAAAAACUCAUGUAAAUCAAUAAAAAAUCAAUUCUUUUAUA